GAUGAACGCUGGCGGCGUGCUUAACACAUGCAAGUCGAACGGUGAACGAGGGAGCUUGCUCCCUCCGGAUCAGUGGCGAACGGGUGAGUAACACGUGAGCAAUCUGCCCCGAACUCUGGGAUAAGCGCUGGAAACGGCGUCUAAUACCGGAUACGACGCGCGAAGGCAUCUUCUGCGCGUGGAAAGAAUUUCGGUUCGGGAUGAGCUCGCGGCCUAUCAGCUAGUUGGUGAGGUAACGGCUCACCAAGGCGACGACGGGUAGCCGGCCUGAGAGGGUGACCGGCCACACUGGGACUGAGACACGGCCCAGACUCCUACGGGAGGCAGCAGUGGGGAAUAUUGCACAAUGGGCGAAAGCCUGAUGCAGCAACGCCGCGUGAGGGACGACGGCCUUCGGGUUGUAAACCUCUUUUAGUAGGGAAGAAGCGAAAGUGACGGUACCUGCAGAAAAAGCACCGGCUAACUACGUGCCAGCCGCCGCCGUAAAAC
rnacentral:rRNA from 1 species